UAUUAGUGAUAUCUCUUGAUUGAUAUUAGGAUAUCUCUUGAUUGAUAUUCCAUAUCUUAGUAUCUCAUUAGUGAUUUAGUUUCUAUUAUAAUUAGGUGAAGAUCACAAUCCUUUAGUAGUUGAUUCUUUCCUUAUUUGUAGUUUGCUCUCUUGUAUAAAUACACAUACAUAUUAAUAAAACACAUACUUCUUCUCUCCAGCAGUAAAGUUUAUAUGGUAUCAAGAGCCUAAAAGCUUAACAGCGUUUUUUUUUUUUCCCUUGAGAAUUUGUGUCUUUUCCGCUGCCACUAACAAUGGUUUCAACCAAUGCCUCCACUGAGAACACCCCAGCUACAUCUUCUCCUGUAUCUGUACCAAAUUCUCCCACAAUUCUCACCAUGAAUAGCAAUGAGCAGUUGAUCAAUAUCAAUGUUGUUGCUCAGGCACCUCUAAAGCUCG
rnacentral:lncRNA from 1 species